GCUUUAUAAGCAUAAUGACAAUGUGCUUCCCUCCACCGAAAUACUUCUCAAACUAUAGGUGGCCACGACUUGACUAGACUGGACAAAGUUUACUGCAAUAGCAUCAAAAUUAUAUGGAAACUCUUCCUAAAAUGGAGUGGAGGAUAGCUUUGGUUCAUCGUGUAUUGCUCAACCUCCCUUCAAGUCCUACUUGAAUGUCCCUACUUGUCUGAAGAAGCAGCUCGUUGAUCUCUCAAUGGUGGCAACCGAGACAACACCCAAUCU
rnacentral:misc_RNA from 1 species